UACUUAUUAUUAUCUGGUUACUGUGUUUAAAUUACCUGUAGCAUAAAAAUGUUUGUUUUCCUUUUUUAAGGUGGUACCUAACACUUUAACUAAAAUUAAUUUGGCUCAUUUAAUUUUGAUAAAAUUUUGACAAAGUAUUUACUUUGACCCUUUAACAAAAAUAUAAAACUUUCAGAAAUUUGAACUAACCGUUUUGUCAGAAAAAUUACACUGGUUAUAUAACAGUUUGACAAACACUAAUUUUGAUCAUUGAGAAGCUUAAGAUUCCCUACACAACGCAAUGUAAUAAAAACGUUUAGCUGAUUUUACAGAGUUAUCUCCCUGUAGUGUUAGGUACCACCUUAAGAAUGGAUUCAUGAUCAGAUACUGUUGAGUGUGAUCACUUGGUAUGAACCUGAUACACAAAUGUCUGUUUAUGAUAUGCUAGUUUAAUUAUCGAACCCUUGUCCACCUCUGACUUAUAACUAUCAGAUGAUCCUUUCUGAGCAAUGAAUAAAAUAGAAGAUGAAAUGUGUCAACAGUCAAAGAGACAACAACCCUACCAAAGAGCAAAUAAACAACUAAAGAACAUCAAUUGGUCUUAUAUCUUUUGAGAUCUUCCUUGAAGGGAUGAUGUUUAUUUUGAUUUUUUUAUAAAACUACGUUGUAUAAGUUGAAAUUUCCAAAAUUUCUUUGCAAUGUGUGCUUAACUUCUAUACUGCUCAAUAUAACAUUGUAUAUAGAUAUUGUUUAUUAUACUCCCCGUACUCAAAGCACAUUCAUUAUUGUUUUUGUGCAUGCAGGAAUGAAAUUCUGCUUUUUGCCCUGUUGAAAAUUUUUAUCCUUUCAGCUACAACCUUGUCAUGGCUCAUUAUCUAUUUGAAACUUAGCACUUAGAACCUAAUUUUUAUAUAUUUAUGUAUGUAUAAUGUACUUGCAUUCAAGAUAAAAUUCCAGAAAAAUGUCCAAAUUUAUAUAUUUAUUGACUUCUUCAAUUUUUCAAUUCAAAUUACAGGCCAUUUUGGAGGUGGACCCUUUUGAGUGGUCAUUGAUUGCAUUAAACAAACUAAUUCUCUUUUUUCUGUCGAUAUAAAGUAUAUGGCUAUUUGUAAGGAGAUGUAUAAGAGGGGACAACUGUUUAAAUAGUGAGCACAUUGUGAUUACUUUGUAUAAUUUUAUUGCACAUGAUUGUUUUGAUCUUUAGAUCUUAAGUGCCGGUGAUUAGAUUGUUAUUUAUAUUGUAUUACUUUAUUUAGGUGUUUGUUUUGGGUUUUUCAAGUUGAUUUUGAAUAUGAUUUGUUGAUUCAUUGUAUGCACAAAAUGUACUAACCUUUUCAUGUAGUUUGGAUAUGGAUUAAUGUUUUGAACAUAUUAUCAUAUUAAUGCUUAGUAUAUGAUAAACUUAAUUUAGUCCAAGAUUUUCUUACAAGGACCUGAAAACAAUCAGUUUUAUCUGUUCUUGAAAUAAUUACAUCAGCAUAUUAAAUGGCAGCCUUAAAAUUAUAAAGUUGUGUAUUAUUCUGACGAAACCAGAGGAUCUCCAAAUUAAAGGUCUUUGAAUGUAGAACAUAGCGUUUUCAGAUCAUUGUAAGCAAAGUUUGGACACAUGUUUUGUAUUUUAAUCAGAUAGAUUCUUGCAAGUUUUACAAUUAGAACAAUAACGAGAAUAUAUGUAAAACUUAGCUCUUUUCUUAUAAAAAUACACUGAAAUCAAUCAGAAAGUUCAAAAUGUAUACAAGUUAAAGGUCUAAGACCAGUUAUUCAUAUGAUAUUUUUAUUCUUUGGUAGUUCAGAAUUGUUUUCUUAAUAUAGGAACUUUAUAAUUGUCUG
rnacentral:lncRNA from 1 species